rnacentral:rRNA from 1 species
UACGUAGGGUGCGAGCGUUAAUCGGAAUUACUGGGCGUAAAGCGUGCGCAGGCGGUGAUGUAAGACAGGUGUGAAAUCCCCGGGCUUACCUGGGAACUGCAUUUGUGACUGCAUCGCUGGAGUGCGGCAGAGGGGGGAUGGAAUUCCGCGUGUAGCAGUGAAAUGCGUAGAUAUGCGGAGGAACACCGAUGGCGAAGGCGGCUCUCUGGACCGAUACUGACGCUGAGGC